rnacentral:rRNA from 1 species
CAGCAGCCGCGGGAAUACGUAGGUGGCAAGCGUUGUCCGGAAUUAUUGGGCGUAAAGGGGUCGCAGGCGGUUUCUUAAGUCUGAUGUGAAAGCCCCCGGCUCAACCGGGGAGGGUCAUUGGAAACUGGGAAACUUGAGUGCAGAAGAGGAGAGUGGAAUUCCACGUGUAGCGGUGAAAUGCGUAGAGAUGUGGAGGAACACCAGUGGCGAAGGCGACUCUCUGGUCUGUAACUGACGCUGAGGAGCGAAAGCGUGGGGAGCGAACAGGAUUAGAUACCCGGUAGUCCCUGUCUCUUAUACA